CAUCCCCAGCCCUUUUUAAUAUUUUAUUUAGAGACAGGGUCUCACUGAGUUGUUUAGGGCCUCACUAAGUUGCUGAGGCUGGCUUUGAACCCAUAAUUCUUCUGCCUUGGCCUCCCAAGCCGCUGAGAUUACAGGCACAACCCCCCCCUAGAUUUUACAUUAGGAAUAUUAGUAAUUUAUAAUAAGUAAUUUCACAAGGGAACAAAUCCCAAACCCUAUAAUGGCCAAAGAAAACUCUCUGAUUUACCUUUUCUGGGGUCAAUUCCAGGAUUUGUUUUGUCGUGAAGGGAAAUUCAAGGACCAACACAUGAUCCCAGUGAUUGUUUUCAGGAACUGAGCCCAGAGCAAGGAAGGCAUUUAUAAUGAAAAACCUGUUUCCAUUUUUGGGAACAGAUUUCCUUUGAUUGCCACUUCUUGCCUUUCCGGAUGAAUCAGAAAAUAAUUUGAUGGGACGAGUUAAGCACUUAGCCUGUGCCUGAUGCAUGCUGAGAUUUCAGUCUUCAUGAACUCAGAUGACAUAAGCCACAAGCUCACAUGGCUGGUCCCUUCCAGGGCUCAAGGUUGGGAAACUACCAGAUCUGAGUAUGUCAUCCAGUUACAUGGGAGCACACAGACAAGUGGAAGAUACUCUGGCUGUCAGUAUACAGAGGGUGUCAUCAAGAGCUUCGGAGUGAGGACCAGGGGAGCCCCAGACCCAGGAAGUUGGCUGUUCUGGAGAGUGCUGAUGGAGGCCCUGGGCCACGGUGUCAGGAACAGCAGCAGAACUGAUGACCAGCUCAUGCCUGGCACAGAUUAAAGCACACCUUCUCAUCUUUCUUCUUCUUUUAAAAUAAAAAUACUGUAUUUACUUAGAAGCAUUCAGAAUGUCAGCAAAA